UUGGCGACCGCUUGCUUCUCUAGUUAUACCAACUUUAGUAACGACCGCAGGAUAGAAAUACAGAGAGCCACGCCCCCAACCAAAACGCCACUCUAUAGCCACAAAUAAUGCUCAGAACAGCACCUAACUUCAUCAACAGGACAUAUAGGGUCACAGACAUAGUACUAGACACCAAACAUCUUUUUAACUUUGACUCAUUUCUUUAGCAAAGAGACUAAACACAACUCACCUACUCUCUUCCAGCAGACGCUUGUUUGUAGAGAGACCUCAGGCCAGUCCAUUACGGACUACAGCGGGGUGACGCAGCUCAAGGAAGAACAUUUAUGAUCAUUACUUCAUGGAAAUACAAUCAGACCGAGACGCUAAGACAGAAGAACUACCAC